GGGGGGGAGAAAGGAGAGAGAAGAGGAAAUAGCUUAGCCCAAGUCAGCUGGUGGAGUAUUCUGCUCAAUGUGAAGGGGGGCGGCUUUCCAGUUGGCAAGCUGACUUCCUUAAUUGCGCAUUCAGUCUCUACUUAGGGUAAUUGAAACGAAGCGGGGCUCGGCUCUGACAAUUAGGGUCUGCGACUAGGCCAUUAACCCUUUCUGCAACAGCCCCCUCCCCGGAUCGAUGCCUCGCACCUUUCCAAGAUGUUUCAUCCGUGUAAGACAAAGGGAGAGCGCCUGCCGGUGCCGGGAGAAAAUCCGCAGGACUCCCUCAGGGGCAGCCACCCUCGGAAGUCAGCCGAGUGAAGCAGCUGUUCCUUGCACACUCCACUUGACCAAAGAUGAUGAUAAAUGAGGCCGGGACCGCGUCGGCAAAGGGCGCGCAAGGGCGGGGCGUACGGCCCGUAGGUCCCUCCCCAUACCUCCGGCCCGGCGAGAACGCAGAGGACAGAGGCCGAGUGGGCAAAAUCAAAGGCCUGCGCUUCCCUCCCGCGCCCUGCGCAGCCUCAGCACUCGGCGGCGAGGAAGAAGGCAGCAGAGAGGUGCGCCCCGACCGCUGGGCUCAUGAUUGAGCCCUUUUCCUCUGGGCCCCUGCUGCAGCUCCACCCUCGCCCCUGCCCUUCCCCCUCGCGCCCCACUCUCCCCUAAUGCCUUGGUCCCCACCGUGCUUCAAACCUAUUAACGCUCGUAAAUAAUGAAUAAUGGAGCGUUUCCCUCCAGUCGCGCAAGGCUGCGGGCGGGGGGGGGGCGCUGGCAGAUGCGCCCGGUCCAGGGGAGGGGGCGCCCACCGGCCGGGUGCAGAGGG
rnacentral:lncRNA from 1 species